rnacentral:tRNA from 1 species
GAGGGUAUAGCUCAAGUGGUAGAGUUCAUGCUUGACAUGCACAAGGUCCUAGGUUCAAUCCCCAGCACCUCCU